UAACACAUGCAAGUCGAACGGAAACGAAACUAGCUUGCUAGUAGGCGUCGAGUGGCGGACGGGUGAGUAACGCGUAGGAAUCUGCCUGAUAGUGGGGGAUAGCCCGAAGAAAUUCGGAUUAAUACCGCAUAAUCUAUUCGUAGUAAAGUGGGGGACUUUCGAGCCUCACGCUAUCAGAUGAGCCUGCGUAAGAUUAGCUUGUUGGUAGGGUAAAAGCCUACCAAGGCAACGAUCUUUAGCUGGUCUGAGAGGAUGAUCAGCCACAUCGGGACUGAGACACGGCCCGAACUCCUACGGGAGGCAGCAGUGGGGAAUAUUGGACAAUGGGGGCAACCCUGAUCCAGCAAUACCGCGUGUGUGAAGAAGGCCUGAGGGUUGUAAAGCACUUUCAAUUGUGAAGAAAAGUUAACGGUUAAUAACCGUUGACCUUGACGUUAACUUAAGAAGAAGCACCGGCUAACUCCGUGCCAGCAGCCGCGGUAAUACGGAGGGUGCAAGCGUUAAUCGGAAUUACUGGGCGUAAAGCGUGCGUAGGCGGUUUAUUAAGUCAGAUGUGAAAGCCCCGGGCUUAACCUGGGAACUGCAUUUGAAACUGGUCAACUAGAGUAUGGUAGAGGAAAGUGGAAUUUCUGGUGUAGCGGUGAAAUGCGUAGAUAUCAGAAGGAACAUCAAUGGCGAAGGCAGCUUUCUGGACCAAUACUGACGCUGAGGUACGAAAGCGUGGGUAGCAAACAGGAUUAGAUACCCUGGUAGUCCACGCCGUAAACGAUGAUAACUAGCCGUUGGGGGGAUUUACCCCUUAGUGGCGAAGCUAACGCGUUAAGUUAUCCGCCUGGGGAGUACGGCCGCAAGGCUAAAACUCAAAGGAAUUGACGGGGACCCGCACAAGCGGUGGAGCAUGUGGUUUAAUUCGAUGCAACGCGAAGAACCUUACCUGGUCUUGACAUCCUGCGAACUUUCUAGAAAUAGAUUGGUGCCUUCGGGAACGCAGUGACAGGUGCUGCAUGGCUGUCGUCAGCUCGUGUCGUGAGAUGUUGGGUUAAGUCCCGUAACGAGCGCAACCCCUAUCCUUAUUUGCCAGCACAUUAUGGUGGGAACUAUAAGGAGACUGCCGGUGAUAAACCGGAGGAAGGCGGGGACGACGUCAAGUCAUCAUGGCCCUUACGACCAGGGCUACACACGUGCUACAAUGGGAAGGACAAAGAGCCGCGAAGCCGCGAGGUGUAGCUAAUCUCAUAAAUCUUUUCGUAGUCCGGAUUGGAGUCUGCAACUCGACUCCAUGAAGUCGGAAUCGCUAGUAAUCGUAGAUCAGAAUGCUACGGUGAAUACGUUCCCGGGUCUUGUACACACCGCCCGUCAUACCAUGGGAGUGGGUUGCACCAGAAGUGGCUAGUCUAACUUUGUGAGGACGGUCACCACGGUGUGAUUCAUGACUGGGGUA
rnacentral:rRNA from 1 species